rnacentral:rRNA from 1 species
UACGUAGGGUGCAAGCGUUAAUCGGAAUACUGGGCGUAAAGCGUGCGCAGGCGGUUCUAUAAGACAGAUGUGAAAUCCCCGGGCUCAACCUGGGAACUGCAUUGUGACUGUAGAGCUGGAGUACGGUAGAGGGGGAUGGAAUUCCGCGUGUAGCAGUGAAAUGCGUAGAUAUGCGGAGGAACACCGAUGGCGAAGGCAGGUCUCUGGGCUGACACUGACGCUCAUGCACGAAAGCGUGGGGAGCAAACGAGGAUA